rnacentral:rRNA from 1 species
UACGUAGGGUGCAAGCGUUGUCCGGAUUUAUUGGGCGUAAAGAGCUCGUAGGCGGCUCGUUGCGUCGGCUGUGAAAACCCGCAGCUCAACUGUGGGCUUGCAGCCGAUACGGGCGGGCUGGAGUUCGGUAGGGGAGACUGGAAUUCCUGGUGUAGCGGUGAAAUGCGCAGAUACCAGGAGGAACACCGGUGGCGAAGGCGGGUCUCUGGGCCGAUACUGACGCUGAGGAGCGAAAGCGUGGGGAGCGAACAGG